rnacentral:tRNA from 1 species
GGCGAGGUGGCCGAGCGGUCUAAGGCGCUAGUUUCAGGCACAAACCAGAUUUCUGGUGGGAAGCUACUAGUCCGAAAGGGCGUGAGUUCAAAUCUCACCCUCGUCA